rnacentral:rRNA from 1 species
UAUCUCUGUAGAGUCUGCAUAUCAAUAAGCGGAGGAAAAGAAAGCUAACAAGGAUUCCCCUUAGUAACGGCGAGUGAAGCGGGAAGAGCUCAAAUUUGAAAUCUUCAAGGUUCUACCUUGACGAAUUGUAGUUUAAAGAAGUGUUUUCUGUUAGAUGAGUAGCAAAAGUUCCUUGGAAUGGGACAUCAUAGAGGGUGAGAAUCCCGUAUUUGGUUAUUCAUUCUAGCUUUGUGAUACACUUUCAAAGAGUCGGAUUGUUUGGGAAUGCAGUCCAAAAUGGGUGGUAAAUUUCAUCUAAAGCUAAAUAUUGGCGAGAGACCGAUAGCGAACAAGUACCGUGAGGGAAAGAUGAAAAGAACUUUGAAAAGAGAGUUAAACAGUACGUGAAAUUGUCAAAAGGGAAGCGUUUGACACCAGUGUUGUUUUUCCGAAAAUCAAUUACGAAUGGCUUGAUUUUGUGUUGUAUUGACCUUAUCAGCUUUCUUGCAUCUUUUUUCGAGUCUUUCUUAAUGCACUUUUUGGUUAACAAGUCAACAUCAAUUUCUUUUGUUGUAAAAGAGUAUGCGGAAGGUGGCUUUCUUUUCGGAGAAAGUGUUUAUAGCCCUAUACUUCUACAAUCGGAGAGAUUGAGGUCUGCAGCGUAGAUCCUUCGGGGCUAGAUACACUUGUGCUAAGUUGUAGCUUUUCAUAGACAACUUGUUGACUAUGUUUAGUCAUGCGGCUUACUCGCUUAGUGCUAUUUUACCUACGCUUAGGAUGUUGACUGAUAUGUAGUCGUA